rnacentral:rRNA from 1 species
UGGUCUCCGGGCUUACUCCCAACCCAUGUGACAUACCACUGUUGCUUCGGCGGACCGCCCCGGGUGCUGCGUGCCCCGGAACCAGGCGCCCGCCGGAGGCCUAAACUCUUGUUUUUACCAUGAAUCUUCUGAGUAGCGCAAGCAAAAAAAAUAAAUCAAAACUUUCAACAACGGAUCUCUUGGUUCUGGCAUCGAUGAAGAACGCAGCGAAAUGCGAUAAGUAAUGUGAAUUGCAGAAUUCAGUGAAUCAUCGAAUCUUUGAACGCACAUUGCGCCCGCCAGUAUUCUGGCGGGCAUGCCUGUUCGAGCGUCAUUUCAACCCUCGGACCCCCGGCUUGCUGGGGGACCGGCGUUGGGGCUCGGGCGUCCCUCGCGGCGUCCGUCCCUGAAAUACAGUGGCGGUCGCGCUGUAAUCCUCUGCGUAGUACUACACCUCGCAGCCUGGAGAGCGGUGCGGCCACGCCGUAAAACCCCCUACUUUUAAAGGUUGACCUCGGAUCAGGUAGGAAUACCCGCUGAACUUAAGCAUAUCAAAA